rnacentral:rRNA from 1 species
AGUGUAGGCGGUCGGGUAAGUCAGAGGUGAAAGCCCUCAGCUCAACUGAGGAAUUGCCUUUGAUACUGCUCGACUUGAGGACAGGAGAGGAAAGUGGAAUUCCCGGUGUAGCGGUGGAAUGCGUAGAUAUCGGGAGGAACACCAGAGGCGAAGGCGGCUUUCUGGACUGCUCCUGACGCUGAGACUCGAAAGCUAGGGUAGCAAACA